rnacentral:tRNA from 1 species
GGGGUUGUAGCUCAGUGGUACAGUGCUCACCUAGCAUGUGUGAGGCACUGGGUUCAAAUCUCAGCACCA